GCCGGACCUGAUAAGCUUGCCUAGAACAGGGAUGGUGGGUAUCUCCAGAUUUUCCAUAUUGUACUUGAUCACUUCGCUGCACACAGUCCAUCUGUCGACUCUAACAAGCCGUGCAUGGAGAGCUUCCUGUACAUCUUCUCUGUUCAAGUACUUCAUAGUUUCAUCUUCUAUACAGACAUCAAUUUCCCCGACAUUUUCCAUUUUAUUCAAUACAUGGGAUUGUGAUUGGAUUGUUGAUAAGCAAACAUCUAGAGUAAUGUCAUAGGUAUCUACAAAUUUGCUAACUUCUCUUGAGUAUUGGCUAUUUACUCUAGAGCAAUCUGGGGACAGAGAGCCAAUAAUUUGGUAUUGUCUCCUGAUUUGAGAAUAGUUACAAACAGUAGUAAAAAUCUCAUAAGUUGCAUCUGAUA
rnacentral:misc_RNA from 1 species